UACGUAGGGGGCAAGCGUUGUCCGGAUUUAUUGGGCGUAAAGAGCGUGUAGGCGGCCUGACAGGUCUGCUGUGAAAACUCGAGGCUCAACCUCGAGACGUCGGCGGAAACCAUCUGGCUAGAGUCCGGAAGAGGUGAGUGGAAUUCCCAGUGUAGCGGUGAAAUGCGUAGAUAUCAAGAGGAACACCAGUGGCGAAGGCGAGUCCCUGGACAACUUCUGACGCUGAGGCACGAAAGCUAGGGGAGCAAACAGG
rnacentral:rRNA from 1 species